AUUUUGAGAAUCAUGUCCAUAUCAUGAGGUUGCCUUUUUUCACUGUUUUGUAUCUUUAUUGGGAAACGGUGGUUACUGUCGUCCUGCGUUAUUAGUUUAGAUUAGAUGUUUUGGCAGCAACUUGAGAGCUAAAGGGUAAUUUCAUGAUGUUGAGAACAUUACUAGGUUUGUCAUAUUUAACAUUAUGGGAGGGGAUAAAAAGGUGAGAUCGUUCAACGG
rnacentral:lncRNA from 1 species